rnacentral:rRNA from 1 species
UACGAAGGGAGCUAGCGUUGUUCGGAAUCACUGGGCGUAAAGCGCACGUAGGCGGAUGUGUCGGUCAGGGGUGAAAUCCCGGAGCUCAACUUCGGAACUGCCUUUGAUACAGCACGUCUUGAGUCCGAUAGAGGUGGGUGGAAUUCCUAGUGUAGAGGUGAAAUUCGUAGAUAUUAGGAAGAACACCGGUGGCGAAGGCGGCCCACUGGAUCGGUACUGACGCUGAUGCGCGAAAGCGUGGGUAGCAAACAGG